rnacentral:lncRNA from 1 species
AGACACUCACAGAGCAAAGGCUUGGGUGGAAGGAAGACUUACGUUGUUUGCCUUCAGCUUAAGCACUUUUUGGCAGAUGAAAAUCCUGUCCUAAAUAGCUCUUCCAAAUUCCCAGGUGGUUGGGCUCGGGAGAUGACAGACCACAGCUGUUCCACUUUUCUUCUCUGCACCUUCAUGUGACCAUCUAUCUCCAAGGGUUUGCAAGCUCAAAGGUAGCAGAACAUGCAACUUCAGCCAUACCAUGUGGCCUCCUCGAAGGUCUGUCUUUGCAGCCCAGGAAACCUAUUGCUUCUUGGUUUUAAAUGUAACCUUUCUAGUCCAGCUGAGCCGACGCAAAAUCUGGUUGGCUACCAGCAAUAUGGUUCUGGGAUGUUGGGCACACAUGGAAAUGGGUAUUCAGAUGGUUUGGGAUUUUGAGGGCUUCCUUCCUGCCUCCAGGGCCAAUAAAGUAAUUUUUUUUUUUUUUUUUUUUUUUUUUUUUUGAGACGGAGUCUCCCUCUGUUGCCCAGGAGGCGGAGGUUGCAGUGAGCCGAUACGGUACCACUGUACUCUAGUCUAGGCAGCACCGCUGCACUCUAGCCUAGGCGACAAGCGUGAAAUGCCCUCUCAAAACAAAAAAGUAAAAGAAAAUGCAUAAGUGGCAAAGAGUGGGGGUUAAAGGCCUGGGUUCAAGAGUCACACAGCUGGUUUAUAUCUCAACUCUGCUACUUCCUCAAUGAUUUGGGGCAAAUUACAUAACCCCUCCCUUGGCCCCAGUUUCCUCCUCAGUGAAGUGGAGAUAACAACAGGAUCUGAAGCAGGCAUGGUGACUCAUUCCUGUAAUCCCACCACUUUAGGAAGUUGAGGCGGGAAGGCUGCUUGAGCCCAAGAGUUUGAAACCAGCUAGGCAACAUAGCAAGACCCUGUCUCUCCAAAAAAAUAGCCAGGCAUGAUGGCACGCACUUGUGGUCCCAGCUACUCAGCAGGCUAAGGUGGGAGAAUCACUCGAGCCCAAGGGGUCGAGGCUAGAGUGAGCUGUGAUGGCACCACUACAGUCCAGCCUGGGCAACAGAGCAAGACCCUAUCUCAAGAGAAAAAAAAAAGGACACAGGAUCAAGACAGUUCACAUUCAAGUUUCAUAAGAGUGAUAACAGUGGCUGACAUGUAUUGAGCUGUUGAUAAACACCAGCUUUUAAUUUAGAUGGGUGGUUCAGGCAGGCUUCUUGGAGGAGGUGACAGACAUAUGAAGAUCUGCAGAAGAAACAGCAAAAGCAACGGCUUUAGGAAGGAGGGAGCCAAAGCUUGUUUAUGAAGCAGCAAGAAAACCAAGGAGGCCAGAGUAGAGUGAGGGAGGAGGAGAGUGGGGUCAAGCAGGGGGUCAGGCCACGCAGGGACUUGAAGGUCUUUGAUGGGAGUUUGCAUCUGGCCAAGAGGGA